CUGGCUCCCCGUGUGUGUCUUGAGUCUGCUCUGUACAAAGGAAUAUUUUAUUGGGUCUAAGUUUCAGCUAGCAGGACUCCUUUGAGACAUACAUAUCUGUCACAGGAGAUUGGAUAGUUGUGGUGCUUUCAAGAGUAUAGAGGAAGGGUGGGGGAGGGCUAGGUCUUUCCGGAAGGUCAGACUGUGUCCAACCAAAAGUCCCUUGUCCAUACAUGAGAACUUUGCUCUUGUUUUAAAAAUGUCUAUGGGAUGAGAUAAACCUUUAAACAAGUAUUUAUUUAUUAAUUAUUUAUUUUGGAGCUGGGGAUCAAAUUCCCUGCUAAGCACAUGUUCUUUACAUGGGCCCCCCUCAGAAACUCUGGAGCAAAUAAAUUUAGUUCACAGCAGUUCUCUAAAGAGAAAGAUACAAAAUUCCCUAACAUUAAAAGCUACAUAGUUUCUUCCAAAGAGCCUUUCAGAAUAUAUUCCCUAUAUCCAACCUACAAAAUAAAUAUCACUUUUAAAUUGAAAAUGAUUGUAAUGUUAACACCCACUAUAGAAAACAUAUAAAGUCUAUAAUUCAAAAAUAGGAAAAAAAUAUAAUUGUGAUCUCUCAAGAUCCUGUGCCUGGUGCUGCCUGUAUGUUUAAAAUCCAUCCUUUUUGUCUUUUCUGGGUAUGCCUGUAUAUUUUUAUGCUAAACAAAAAUAGGAUAUUUUGUUCAAUUACUUUUCCUGACAGAAUUUGGACAGAGCCGUUGGUGUGAAAAUAGCAAUCUGUCCCCUUAUUUAUAUCUUCAUAAAAGUUCUUUCUUCCUAACAUGUGGUCUUUCAAAAUGCAUCACCAAGACCCCCCAAAAUGGCUUCCUCUACCUACAGCUGGUUGCAGAGCCUGAGGCUCCGCCGCAGGUUUGUGCAUCCUCCUCCCUAACCUCACGUACAGUGCCACAGUAGGAGCAUGCGCACCAGGUUCCUGAGCACGCAUGUCUCUCAUGGUUACUGGCACAGCCUUGGCAAGUCACCCAGCCCUCCCUCGCUUCGGUACACUUAUGCACAAAACCAGGACAUCUGACAUAAGUUGUUCCCACACUUCCAGAGCGCGGAACUAGCUGCUUUGUUUGAAGUAGUGAAUGUGGUGUCCCACCUGCUUCCAUCCUCCCCUCCCGUUAUUGUCUCAAGUCCUUUGUACUUAGUCCUCCUCUGCUUUGGGAGAUUGAUAUUUGAGAUGAUUCUUUUUUUUUUUUUUUUUUUUUUCAGAGCCUAAGAAUCUGGUGCCAAGACAGAACAACACAAUACUAAGCUUUCCUUUCCAUUUGUACUAUGGACACGGGGGCGUGGGGGGAGGGGGCGUGGUGGCGGUAUUCUAUUACCGUCUUAAAACGCCUGCUUCUUCCCGGUUUCAGUUUGGUCACCCAGAAUAGCCUGACUUCAGGACCCAGACCCAAGGAUGCGGUGGGAUAUGACCACAACUCCACAAGUCCGACCUACAGCUUCUCUGGGUCCUGCCUUCGUUCCCUGCAUCUCUGCUUAGUGUAUAGCUGAGGUAUUACUGUCCCUGUCGUAGAUUCGUAUGUGUGGUGUAUCAGUGCAAUGAUUUCUUAUAUAUGCUUUACUCGACGACCACUCCCCACCCCCACCCCCCGACUCAUUUGCUCAUUCCAGGAACACUGACAAGUGCCACCUGUAUCACAAAGCAAACACAAUUACCUUUACUUUCAGAGAAACAAACCUCUUCUUUUCCCUAUUACAAAUGGGUGAUGUACACAAGCUAUAUGAAUAUAGUAGAUUAUAGUUGUGGGCAAAUUCUCAGAAAGUGUUUCUGAUAUCAUAGAAACUAGACAAAUAAAAGCAACUUAGAAAGGUAUCAAGGACACUAAAAUAUUUAAGACAAAAAAUAGGCGAAAUUCUGGUAUGAAAAAUGGGAAUUUCUGUAUUAGAGAGUUUUAGAAACAACUAAAGAUGGUUGUAAAAGGGGUGUGAUGGAGAGUUACAGACACAGAGUAUCCUAUCAACUUGCAUCAUUACACUAUCUAUGGGAGCGACUAUUGUUUUCUCAUCAAGCAAUAUUAUCUGUUCGUUAUUAUAUGCUUAAGUGGAGACUUCAGUCAAAAGAAUCCAUGAUAUCAUCCUGAUUCUUAUACAGGGAUUCAUGAAGUGAAUGUUCAGAGAAACAUUGGUGAAAAAAAAAAAAAAAACCCACAUUUGCUAACCAAGAAUCCAAAAAAAAUAAAAAAAGAAAAGCUCAUCAAUUAAAAAACUUGCCAUAGCACUAGCUUUCGGAAGACUUACUCUUCUUUUGAAUAAUUUAAAAAAUAAAAACUAUAAAUUAAAAUCUAUCCCUGGAACCAUCCAUUUUCAAGAUACAAAUCAGGAAGACUUGGAAAACCAACAAACACAUUCUAAGAACAUUCACAAAAUGAGAGGAUAGAUACUCUUAGUGUGAUUUAAAAAAUUCUUUUGACUUGUUUAUUUUACUAUAUUAUUUGUAUGAGUGUUUUGCCUCUAUGGUGUGUAUGCACCACAUGUGUGCCUGGUACCCAAAAAGUAAAAAUGAGGCUUUGGGUCUCCUGGGACCAGAGUUACAAAUGGCUGUCAACCAUCACGUAGGUUCUGAGAGUUGAAUCUGGGUCUUCACAAGAACUCCAAAGGCUCAAAUAGAGCCAACUCUCCAGCCCUACUGUGAUUUUUUUUUUUUUUUUGUUCUAAAACACCGAACCUUUUAAACUAAGCUAUUAGUGUCUUCUUUAUACAAAGAGAUAUUAAGACUCAGGAAGCUGAAUCAAAAAUAGAAUCAAGUCCUUACCUCAUCUGGUCAUAAGAAUGUUUUAGAAAACUACAAAGGCUAUUCAUGCAAGCCACUGAUAAAGACAGACUAUUUUUUAACAUGAAGCCAUUUUACCUUGCAAGAGCUGGACAGCCCAACCAAAAGGCUUAUAUUUCAAAGCAGUUGGCUGGGGCCAGUCUACUCUUUCACUGGGCAUGCCUUUUGUUCUGUUCCAGGAAACACGGAGGGGACACAUUUUCAACAUGAGAUGGGUCCGCUCUUAAAGAUGUCUCUUUUUGUUUGUGUGACCAAUAUACAGAAGGCCACACAGCAUUAGAAAGGAGAUAUGUUUUUAAUUCUCAAAUGGAUUAAUAUUUGGCUUUGGUACUGGAAAGUGGGUCAUGCUUAGCAAAACAUAUAUCAAAUCCACCUUUCAGACUUCAGUAUAUUAGGACUUCAUUGCUAUUUUAGUACUGGGGUUCUGUCAAGGUAUAUUAUUAGGAAUCACUAAUGUUCACGUCACAGAUACAGAUUUGUCUUGAUGUGUACCAGUUUUACUUUGGUUCUAAUCAACUUCUUUUGCUUAACAGACAGAAAAACCAAAGCCAAAACCCAAAAACCAACCAACCAACCAAACAAACAAAUAAACAAAAAACCCAAAGCAACACCAAAAAAUGAAAAACAAAAAUGAAAGAACAAAGCACAAAAAACCCCACAAACACCCCAAAAGGAAACCAAAACACAAAAAGCAGCCUCUAAGUAGAAGUACAGCAAAGAUAAGAAUGGAAAAUGAACAAUUAUGAAAAGCUUUGUGAUUUUGUAGGAACGUUUGAUACUGUUAGCCACUCAAGUAUUGUUCAGAGAAGGCUCCAACCCAGGUGCUGUUGCUGGCUAGAAACACACACAAAGGUUUCACAUCCUGUCCUGGGUGUUGGACCACCCUCCGUGAGUGUCCGCUUUGGGGAAAUGGUGGUUCCCAUCAGAACACACCCCAAACAAAAUACCAGGACGACUGGUGCCUGGGGAUGAGCUCUGAGAAUCAGAAUCUGGAAAAUAUGUUUCCCCUUUAUUGCACACCCAUAACCUGCGGCAGGGAAGAGGGGACAUCAAAGGGCGGGGGAAGUACAAGUCGGUGUGUUCUCCAGACCAGCACUGCCUUACGAUGACGCUCUUCUGAACUGUGGUCGGUGACCCUCAUUUCAUUAAAGUGCUAAGGAGAAGAAGCAUAGCAAUGCCAUGAGUUUGUCCACAGGGAUGACUAUAAAAUGGAACAUUGCCAACGCUCCACCAAGACUCCUUUAGAAGAGCCUCCAACAAUGGGCGUGAUGUACUAAUGCCACGUGGGAAGGGCUCCAGGCAUACAUGGGGGAAGGUGGGCCUCCUGACUGUGUGCAGGAAAUCUCGGAGAGGCUUAAAUCAAACUCAUUUAUUGCUCUCCAUUGGUGGUCUUUAUAACUACAGACCUGAAGCUGCUGGAUAAAAUGUAUCUUUACUUCUGUCUGUGCCUGGUCAUCACCCAAAUUCAUCUGAAGGCUCAUGACCCUCAUAACACAGACUGGGUAUUAUGUGACUAGCUUAAUAAUAAUAAAAAAUUACUAUGAAACCAAGUUCUCUAGGGAAAGAGGACAUAAUGUUUCUACUAGAAAGCCACAUCCCAACAUGCUUCCUUUCAUACAAACAUGUCAGGAGGAGUGAAAGUUGUAAGAUUAAUUCAUGAACCAGAUAGAUAUUUCUGAGUAAUCUUUAACAUAUGGUGCAUUAAAUCAAACUUAGUAGCCUGUUCCUUCAACACUACUUGGUUUGAGGUUUAAAAAACAUGGGAAAUAGCAUCUUUUUCUAUAGUCGGAAGGCAGACCACUUAAAGACUAAUAAAAACAAUUGUGGCUAUUAUAAAACAUUAUGUUGUUAUUUGCCCAAUUCCCUGUGAGGGAUAGGGAAGGUUUGUGGUCCCAAAUCUCCAAGAGCAUGCUGUCAAUGUAUACACAUGGAAAUCUCUGAAUGGAAUCUGCAGACGGCUGAGUGGCUCAGGGGCUUGGGAACCUCCCUGACCUAUCCUAUGGCAGAAGGUUCUCUCCCUCCUGAUCAUCAAGAGCUGAUUAUUCAGGAAGGAAGGAAGAAGGAAGACAGCAAAGUGUACUACCCUGCAGACAACUCUGUUCUCUGUGGCUAGCAUCUAGGAACUUCCUCUGAGUACAUCCUUGGAUAAAGGCGAUCUGGGCUAAACCACUUCUGACACAAGCCAGCUGAGUGGCAUUGAAAUGGCAUUUAGGAAUGAAACUGAAGUGCUCAGAUGCAAGUGAAUUAAUGCCUAAAGGUCCCUGGUCAACUCUCACCUUACCCAGGUGCUAAGCCAGCUGAGCUGCGGUAGAUCCGUGAUGUGCCCUAUUGACCCCACUGAGCUAUGCUGUGCCCUAUUGACACCAUUUAUUCCAGGGUGAUUCUGAGACCCUUCCUAUCCAGAAAAGGCUGACGUAAUCACCAGAAUGUGCUAGUAUUUGCUAGGAAGAACAAGAACGGGCCAUAAGCCACAGGGAAAUAUUUUACCGUGAAUGGAUAUGCCAUUAAAAGUUUCAUAAAUGUUCCUCAAAAGAACUGGCACUGAACAUGAAGGAGCAAAAAAGAAACAAAUGAGCAAACAAAAAGAAGGCGUGGCCAGUUGUCUCAGCAAGACAAGUGAUGAGCCGUCCCCAACCUAAGUGAGUGAGCACUUUCCAUCUUUGGGAUGCAGCAAAUGGACAUGACAGGAGAUGCAGGCCUCGCGAAGCUCCAGGGCUUAUACCUCACCCUGUAGACACCAUGGGGUUCCAUGGUCGGUUUAGGACAAAGGCUGACAACCGUGAUGAACUAUUAUCUCAUGGCAGCCCUCUGAACCCAGGAAGCUUCGGCAGCUAUGGGUGCCAUGUUUCAGAGAGCUGCAGCGCCUUGCAACUUUGUGCCAAAAGAACUUGAAAACUGGGGCUGUCCUCGUGUUAGUGCUUGAACCCAUUCUUAUGGCAUUAGUGCUCUUAGGGAUUUUUUUCUCUCUCUCUCUCCAGGAUCAUGUGUGUAAUCUCAAACAUGUGUUGGGCUAUGUGUUCCUUAUUUACCAAUUAUUUAAUUAGCCCUGUUUGUUCUUUGAGAUACAGGCAAUGUAGUAUUUCUUUAUUUCCUGCAUUUCAGAAUGAGUGAGUAUAGGCCAAAUAUUUUCAAAGUCUACAGAUGUAUCCUAUUAGCCAGCACUGCUUGUUAGAGAAACGCGCUGACUUCAGAAGAGAGUGCUUCUCUUCGUGUCCUGUGGACAUGCUGCCAUCACAGCCUUCUUCCACAUGCCAAACCAGAGCCGAGGAGACUUUUACAUGAAGACACGUGAGGGUCAGAGAGCCAGGAGAAUAAGGCUUACAACUGGUCUUCAAGGUUCCUUGCCAUUUGUACACAGGGAAUUGGGAGAAUACAGUAUUUUAAGGCAGAGCAUACUGGAAUAUUCAAGAACUUUCUCCCUUAAAGUAACAUUAAAAUAAAUUUUAUAUUUAUGCAAAUUUAAUACGAAUAUGUCUCACUGUAAGAUUGAAUUGCCAGAUGUACUUAUUUUCUAAGAUAUUAUGAUGCUUUUUAAAAUACUUUUUUCUAGUAAGAUUUUUGACAAGAAUACUAAUUAUUAUAAAAUGAUUUAUGGGGUAAAUUUCCAAAAAAAAAAAAAACCCUUUGUCUGGGUUCUAAGAGUUUCUUAUUUUUCUUUUUAAGUUGGAGAUCUUCACUAUUGUCUGGACAUUAGCAGGACCUUGAGGUUUAUAUAUAAAGUCAAAUUCAUCUUCAGUAUGCAGCUAGGCUCUUCCUCUGUAGGGCUCACACCCUCUACUGUGCUUAGGCUACUGCCAUUGUCCAUAAGCUGACAGCAAUGGGACCAUCUUAGGCAAGCAACCCUUACUCUGACUGUACUGGGCAGCUAAGAUGUUCAAGGUUCACAGAGGAUAACGUGGCGCACUAUCCCUCUUCUACCCAGUGAUCCAUGCCUCACUCACAGAGACACUGGAGACCAGGUCUACACAAUCCUCUCUAACAGAGAGCCCAAAUGUGUUUUCCUGAACUCGGAGGUCCGCUCCACCUCCAUAUCUUCCUUAAAAAGAAAAUGACUCAAACCACGAGUAGACAGGAAACCUGUCACGUACAAGGAUGAAUGACCGGCCAUUCUUUAUAACCGACCUCAUGACUGCAGAAGGGGCUUUCCAUUUGCCAAACCACACUGAAGUGAAGUGUGCCCCUUUCAGUCUUUCAGUUCUGCACUUUUCUUUCUUUCUUCUUGUUUUUCAAAUCUGCCCCAACUUCACUGGGUGCUAAGAGAACUUUUCCCAUGUUACCUCGGGCCAUAGCUCUGCAAGGUCAGACUGGCGCAACAUUCUUGUAAAGGUUCCCUUAUGGAAAGUUUCAGAAUGGAAACUCAUUCCUAAAUUGGCUUCUCUGUGAGAUGUGAUAGGACAGGGCUGCUAGGUGGCUCAUCUCAAGUGUGAAAUAAAUUACUGAAUAAAGAAGCAUGGUAUUGGUUGCCUAGAGAGUAUAUUUGAACAGUUUAAUAUCAUCUCUUUCACCGAGAACUCUCCCAUGUAAGUGAUUCAUACAAUUCCCCAAGUUCAAAGGAAAAA